rnacentral:rRNA from 1 species
AUUGAACGCUGGCGGCAGGCCUAACACAUGCAAGUCGAGCGGUUGAUGGGAGCUUGCUCCUGGAUUCAGCGGCGGACGGGUGAGUAAUGCCUAGGAAUCUGCCUGGUAGUGGGGGAUAACGUCCGGAAACGGGCGCUAAUACCGCAUACGUCAUGAGGGCGUAAGUGGGGGAUCUUCGGACCUCACGCUAUCAGAUGAGCCUAGGUCGGAUUAGCUAGUUGGUGGGGUAAAGGCCUACCAAGGCGACGAUCCGUAACUGGUCUGAGAGGAUGAUCAGUCACACUGGAACUGAGACACGGUCCAGACUCCUACGGGAGGCAGCAGUGGGGAAUAUUGGACAAUGGGCGAAAGCCUGAUCCAGCCAUGCCGCGUGUGUGAAGAAGGUCUUCGGAUUGUAAAGCACUUUAAGUUGGGAGGAAGGGCAGUAAGUUAAUAUCUUGCUGUUUUGACGUUACCAACAGAAUAAGCACCGGCUAACUUCGUG